UGUGGAGAGUUUUAUACAUGAGGCCCCAGGGGAUUUUAAGCAGGAAGUUUCAGUGUGUUUGAGUGUGAAACUGCAGAGACUCACAGUAACACACAUCUACAGCUCAGAGCACAGAGAACAUUAACACACACCUGAUCUGACCGUCAACAUGGAAAAACACCUGCUUCUCAUUUUAAUUCUGACUUCAGGUGUGAUGACUGCAGACCAGAUUAGGCCAAAUAAAGAUGCUGUUGUCAUAAAGGAAGAUGAGACUGUGUCCCUCAGCUGCUCAUAUGACACAAGCAGCAGAUAUGUUUAUCUGUACUGGUACAGACAGUAUCCUAAUGGAGAACCUCAGUAUUUAAUAUUUAGACCUGCCCGAUCAGCGACUACAACUGGGAAACCCGCUGAUCCUCGCUUUGAGUCGACUACAUCAGAAAAAUCUACUGAACUCACUAUUAAGAGUGUAACUCUGUCAGAUUCAGCUCUCUAUUACUGUGCUCUAAGAGCUGGAGCCCAGUGA